rnacentral:rRNA from 1 species
UACGUAGGGGGCAAGCGUUGUCCGGAUUUAUUGGGCGUAAAGAGCGUGUAGGCGGCCAUACAGGUCCGUUGUGAAAACUCGAGGCUUAACCUCGAGACGUCGAUGGAAACCGUAUGGCUAGAGUCCGGAAGAGGAGAGUGGAAUUCCUGGUGUAGCGGUGAAAUGCGCAGAUAUCAGGAAGAACACCCGUGGCGAAGGCGGAUCUCUGGGACGGUACUGACGCUGAGACGCGAAAGCGUGGGGAGCGAACAGG